rnacentral:sRNA from 1 species
UAUCAUUGCCAGAAUCCAUGAGCUUUGUAUAAAUACGCAAGUAUUCCUGCAAUAUCAUGGGGGAUAACAGACUGCAUAUUGAUGGGGAGAACCGGACAUCUGAUGCUCCCUCCCAACACUCUUGCUCGUUGCCGCAAAGAUCGAACUCAUGUCAGCUGAGGUUGACUAUGACCUGUGCUCUGCUAGCUCGCAUCGAGGGCCGCAUUGCAGGUGCAGGUCCAGCUGAAGAGGAUCAGGUAGUCAGCUAGCAGGACAAGGUCUGCGCAUUGGUACAAAUCACCACCGUCCUGGUGGGGAUCUUCAAUGAGGAGUUAAAGGAAGGGAGAGAGAUCGGACCCAUCCCUCUGUACUGAAGCUGCGGGGUCACGCCAGAAACGUUGUUGAAGCCCAUCCCAAGGGCAGCGAGAUUGAUUAUCCAGCAAUACUCGUCUCCGUUGACUUGAAAUGGCUGGGGUGACAUGCCGGCGCCGGAAUCAUUCAGGGUGGAAUUUAAAUCGUUGAAACAAGUCACGUUACUGCUGACCGAGACGAUAUAGACAAGGCCAAACUGCAUACCUGUAUUGGAACAUACCACAUGCUCAACAAUGAAACGACAGAUUAGACGUUUGGUUGCUUCAACCAACGUUGCUCUCCUGCUGUGUAUUAUUACAGUACGGGCCGACGCAAACUCGGAUUCGCCAAAAUGUCCUUGUCUCGCAACGAUCCAACCCCACAUCCCGAUGUUCUCUGCUCCCUCACACUGCGCUAGUAAUAGCAAAUACCGAGGAACCACUUGCAUCUCGGUAGCGGCGGGUAGCUGAUAAACGGACCCCUCGUCGCAGGCCAGAGUACGAUUUUCUCUAGGGUGUUGGGUCCCGUUGCAAUGAUAACUUCGCAAGGCUGGUCAGUGGAUUUGCAGUCCUCAUGCGCCAGGCCAAGAGUGUGCCCUAGCUCAUGUGACAUGAUAAAGGUAAGGACGUUCUGAAAGUUGCUCUGGAAAGCCGUGUUGUAAACGAAGAUGUCGCGGUUCCUAGCACCCGCUACACCCCGAGGUGGGAAGGGGGCAGUCGCGAGCACAUUGGGCUCUCUGGCAGACUUGGUCCGGUCAACAGCAAGAGUAUGGAACACGGCGUCGUUGCAGUUCUCCACAAACUCGAACGAGACGAAUUGCUUGUUCAGACCUGCGUUCCAGAAGUUGAUUGCACGUACCAUGGCGGAUGCAACGAUCGCUGAUGCUCGGAUGGGAACGGGGGAGGACGCAUAUGGGACCAGAUAAUCGUUAUUCCUCUCGACACAAAUGGAAAUCACCGACCCUCGUCUCCACCGGUUGGGCGUACCCGUCGCUCCUGAAUCCGCAAAUGUCCGCUUGUGAAGGGCUCGCCCAAUGUUCGCUUCAUUCCCAGUGCUGGUGUUGUUGUCGAAAGAAGUGGUGUUUCGAAUGUCAGGAUUGCCAAAAUUGUCCAAACAGAAGUCUCUCCCUAUCCCAGCUACAUUUGCUGUGAAAUUUUGACCCUGCUGCUGGCCUUCAUCGUCCGUCAAGUUACCAGACCCCUCCCCGAUACAGUAGUCGAACGGUACUUGGUCCGACACGGUCAGAUCGUCAUUGCUGUAAUCGCCGUCGAAGCUGAUCAUGGGCGGCCAGGGUCCAGCUGCCUCGGUGACGUUAACAAUGGCUUCAAGGGCAGGGUUGAGCGACUCGCUGUUGGGGUCUGGCCCUGGGGGGUCGGGAAUGAUCUGAUUGGUUUUCCCUCCUGAAUCACCACCUUGAUUACCUCCGGGGUUUCCACCAGUAUUGCCCCCAUGGUUCCCACCAGUAUUGUCCCCAUGGUUCCCACCAGUAUUGUCCCCAUGGUUCCCACCAGUAUUGUCCCCAUGUUUUCCACCGUAGUCCGGUCCCGUUGUCCAGACCCUAAUGGUGGGAUUACUGUCAGCCCAUCAACUCAGGCCACUGCAAGCAGGUGACUCACUGAUUGUUGUUACCCGUGCUGCACUGCCAGACCUGCAGCUGGUUGAAAUCAGACCGAUCCCCAUUGGCCCAGUCGAGGCACUUGCCCUGGUCGCGGAGAGCAAUUUUGUUAUCACUCGUCCAAUACCAGUCUUGCUGUCGGACGUCCAAGCACUUCCAGAUCUUCAUUUUGAUUCCGUCGGCUGCGUAAGGGUGGGUGGCAUCGAGACAGAAAUUGGUGCCGGCGAGCUGGACCUUGGUCUGACCGCGGCCGGCAUUGAGGACCCAGUCUUGAGCCGGGGUACCGUUGCAGUCGUAAACCUGAAUGGUAUCAGCGAAAGUGGCACAGUACGGUGUGGUGUCAUUGCUUGGGCUCACCUGCACGGGCUGACCGUCCUGAUGAUCAUUACCUAGGAGGUCAACGCACUUGCUUUUGUCCCCGUUUGGGUGUAGCCGCACAGUCUUGGUAGAUUGAACCGGCUGGAACUUGGGAGGGUCGCGCUCGAUGACAGCGGCGAAAGCGAGGGGUGCGAGGCCGAGAAUGUAGACGAUGUGCAUGAGUAUGAGGUCUUGUUGCGGAUGGCGUAGCAAAGGAUGAUUGUUGGACAAGGAGGGGAUAAUGCUUGUCCACUUUGGCCGAUCUUAUACUGUCUGGCUCAGAUAGCUAAGCACUGCCUUGCCGUGUUGCAUGUCCAUAGCAUGCGAUAAGAUUAUCUCUGAUACUGUAACGACGUUGUACGUAUGUCCUACAUAUGCACUGGGUUCGUUGUCGCGCAUAUCAUCCAGUCUGUAUAUGCCAAGAUAACGGGAUCCAGAGAGGAACAGCAUGUAGACCAAUGCCAAGGAGGCGGCACUCGGCCAGUUGCAGGAGUCGACAGUCAGCCGGUAUGAAUCCCAUCUGAUACAGGUCUCACUUGUAUUUUGUUAGCCACGAGCUUCCGGCGUGUGGGUUUGUGCGUACAGGGCAGAACGCCAAUACCCAACCCAAGGUUUAAACAAAAAGAAGCCCAAAAAC